rnacentral:misc_RNA from 1 species
CGACGAAGAUCUCAGCUUCCUCGAAGCAGACGACGUAAACGACGCCGCGCCGGAGCACACUUUCCCAACCGAAACCUUCUCUGACGACGACGACUUCGACGACGACGAGGACUUCGAAAAUUACGACGAUUUUGAAGUUCCGUCGGCGUUUGAUGACGAGAAGGAAGAGGAAGGUGUUAAAUUCGACGAUAAAGACGUCGUCGUUUUGACGGAUAGGAAUUUCAGUGACUUUGUAGAGGAUAAUAAGUAUGUGAUGGUGGAGUUUUACGCGCCGUGG